rnacentral:rRNA from 1 species
UGGGUAACCUGCCCAAGAGAUCGGGAUAACACCUGGAAACAGAUGCUAAUACCGGAUAACAACAGAUGAUGCCUAUCAACUGUUUAAAAGAUGGUUCUGCUAUCACUCUUGGAUGGACCUGCGGUGCAUUAGCUAGUUGGUAGGGUAACGGCCUACCAAGGCGAUGAUGCAUAGCCGAGUUGAGAGACUGAUCGGCCACAUUGGGACUGAGACACGGCCCAAACUCCUACGGGAGGCAGCGGC